rnacentral:lncRNA from 1 species
UUAAGAGAUUUAGUUGCUUGCUCCAAAACCAAAUGAUACCAUUACAAGUUAUCGACAGUAUAAUUAUGGCAGAAAUCAAACAAUUAAAUACAGGUUGUAUUUUUUUAUGAAUAGGCUGGAUCUUGAGUUUUCUUAUUUUCUAUUAUUAUGCUAGGAUCUAGUGUUUCUCAUGAGGGGAAGAGGAAAGGGCUGGAACCGGUUUGGGUCAUUUUUGGAUUAACAUUCAGGCUAGUCUUGGCUAGGUUCUCAUCCAGAUCUGUUGAGAAGAGAUGGAAGUUAGAAUUGAUUAUGAUACAUACAAAUACCAGUGUGAUUGUAUUACCAAAGCUUCAGAUUAUUGCAACAUUAGAGGUUCUUAAAGUUGAG